GUCCCUGUAGCUUACACACCAAAGCAUGGCACUGAAGAUGCCAAGACGGUCGGCCAUACACCCAAGGACA
rnacentral:tRNA from 1 species